UGACCCUGGGAAUCCAGAGUGGGUGAGGCCUGUCUGCCCUUUCUAGGCGACCCCCUCUUGGUUUCCAUGGUUU
rnacentral:pre_miRNA from 1 species